UCCCCUACAAGUCAUCUAGGGC
rnacentral:siRNA from 1 species